UACGUAGGUGGCAAGCGUUGUCCGGAAUUACUGGGCGUAAAGGGUCCGUAGGUGGUUCGGUAAGUCUCUUGCGAAAACCUCAGGCUCAACUUGGGGACGCCGAGGGAUACUGCCGGACUUGAGACUGUCAGAGGCGAACGGAAUUCCCGGUGUAGUGGUGAAAUGCGUAGAUAUCGGGAGGAACUCCAGUGGCGAAAGCGGUUCGCUGGGACAGUUCUGACACUGAGGGACGAAAGCGUGGGGAGCGAACAGG
rnacentral:misc_RNA from 1 species